rnacentral:rRNA from 1 species
UACGGAGGGGCUAGCGUUGUUCGGAAUUACUGGGCGUAAAGCGCACGUAGGCGGCUUUGCAAGUUAGAGGUGAAAGCCCGGGCUCAACUCCGGAAUUGCCUUUAAAACUGCAUCGCUAGAAUUGUGGAGAGGUAAGUGGAAUUCCGAGUGUAGAGGUGAAAUUCGUAGAUAUUCGGAAGAAACACCAGUGGCGAAGGCGACUUACUGGACACAUAUUGACGCUGAGGUGCGAAAGCGUGGGGAGCAAACAGG